GAUGAACGCUGGCGGCGUGCUUAACACAUGCAAGUCGAACGGUGAAGCAGAGCUUGCUCUGUGGAUCAGUGGCGAACGGGUGAGUAACACGUGAGCAACCUGCCCCUGACUCUGGGAUAAGCGCUGGAAACGGCGUCUAAUACUGGAUAUGAGCUGCGACCGCAUGGUCAGCAGUUGGAAAGAUUUUUCGGUCUGGGAUGGGCUCACGGCCUAUCAGCUUGUUGGUGAGGUAAUGGCUCACCAAGGCGUCGACGGGUAGCCGGCCUGAGAGGGUGACCGGCCACACUGGGACUGAGACACGGCCCAGACUCCUACGGGAGGCAGCAGUGGGGAAUAUUGCACAAUGGGCGAAAGCCUGAUGCAGCAACGCCGCGUGAGGGAUGACGGCCUUCGGGUUGUAAACCUCUUUUAGCAGGGAAGAAGCGAAAGUGACGGUACCUGCAGAAAAAGCGCCGGCUAACUACGUGCCAGCAGCCGCGGUAAUACGUAGGGCGCAAGCGUUAUCCGGAAUUAUUGGGCGUAAAGAGCUCGUAGGCGGUUUGUCGCGUCUGCUGUGAAAUCCCGAGGCUCAACCUCGGGUCUGCAGUGGGUACGGGCAGACUAGAGUGCGGUAGGGGAGAUUGGAAUUCCUGGUGUAGCGGUGGAAUGCGCAGAUAUCAGGAGGAACACCGAUGGCGAAGGCAGAUCUCUGGGCCGUUACUGACGCUGAGGAGCGAAAGGGUGGGGAGCAAACAGGCUUAGAUACCCUGGUAGUCCACCCCGUAAACGUUGGGAACUAGUUGUGGGGUCCAUUCCACGGAUUCCGUGACGCAGUUAACGCAUUAAGUUCCCCGCCUGGGGAGUACGGCCGCAAGGCUAAAACUCAAAGGAAUUGACGGGGACCCGCACAAGCGGCGGAGCAUGCGGAUUAAUUCGAUGCAACGCGAAGAACCUUACCAAGGCUUGACAUAUACGAGAACGGGCCAGAAAUGGUCAACUCUUUGGACACUCGUAAACAGGUGGUGCAUGGUUGUCGUCAGCUCGUGUCGUGAGAUGUUGGGUUAAGUCCCGCAACGAGCGCAACCCUCGUUCUAUGUUGCCAGCACGUAAUGGUGGGAACUCAUGGGAUACUGCCGGGGUCAACUCGGAGGAAGGUGGGGAUGACGUCAAAUCAUCAUGCCCCUUAUGUCUUGGGCUUCACGCAUGCUACAAUGGCCGGUACAAAGGGCUGCAAUACCGUGAGGUGGAGCGAAUCCCAAAAAGCCGGUCCCAGUUCGGAUUGAGGUCUGCAACUCGACCUCAUGAAGUCGGAGUCGCUAGUAAUCGCAGAUCAGCAACGCUGCGGUGAAUACGUUCCCGGGUCU
rnacentral:rRNA from 1 species